rnacentral:misc_RNA from 1 species
AAGUCGUAACAAGGUUUCCGUAGGUGAACCUGCGGAAGGAUCAUCAAAAAAGAUGGCGUUUGUUUACUCUCUUUUCCGAGGUGGCAAGCGUCGUUUCAUCUUUUGUGCACUUGUCUUUGUGGAUUUCUGUUUUGGUUGCGGCGGCAGAGUGGGAUGUCGUGUGUGCCUUGCGCAUGCACGGCGAUCCACUUCUGUCCGCGGGCCUCACAGACCCCCAUCACAAACUUGAAUCUUUGUCUAAACUCGGUGACUCGCUUGCGAGCACGCCAAACAUAACAAAAAAUAACUUUUAACAACGGAUCUCUUGGCUCUCC